rnacentral:snRNA from 1 species
GUGCUGGCUUCAGCAGCACAUAUACUAAAACUGGAACAAUGCAGAGAAGAUUAGCGUGGCCCCUGCACAAGGCUGACAUGCAAAUUUGUAAAGCAUUCCAUAUUUUU